GAUGAACGCUGGCGGCGUGCCCAAUACAUGCAAGUCGAGCGAACGGACGAGAAGCUUGCUUCUCUGAUGUUAGCGGCGGACGGGUGAGUAACACGUGGAUAACCUACCUAUAAGACUGGGAUAACUUCGGGAAACCGGAGCUAAUACCGGAUAAUAUUUUGAACCGCAUGGUUCAAAAGUGAAAGACGGUCUUGCUGUCACUUAUAGAUGGAUCCGCGCUGCAUUAGCUAGUUGGUAAGGUAACGGCUUACCAAGGCAACGAUGCAUAGCCGACCUGAGAGGGUGAUCGGCCACACUGGAACUGAGACACGGUCCAGACUCCUACGGGAGGCAGCAGUAGGGAAUCUUCCGCAGUGGGCGAAAGCCUGACGGAGCAACGCCGCGUGAGUGAUGAAGGUCUUCGGAUCGUAAAACCCUGUUAUUAGGGAAGAACAUAUGUGUAAGUAACUGUGCACAUCUUGACGGUACCUAAUCAGAAAGCCACGGCUAACUACGUG
rnacentral:rRNA from 1 species